GAUGAACGCUGGCGGCGUGCCUAAUACAUGCAAGUCGAGCGAACGGACGAGAAGAUUGUGCCUCUGAUGUUAGCGGCGGACGGGCGAGUAACAAGUGGAUAACCUACCUAUAAGACGGGGAUAACUUCGGGAAACCGGAGAUGAUAAUGGAUAAUAUUUUGAACGGCAGGGUGCAAAAGUGAAAGAGGGCUUGGCUGACACAAAUAGACGGAUCCGGGCUGCAUUAGCUAGUUGGUAAGGUAACGGCUUACCAAGGCAACGAUGCAUAGCUGACCUGAGAGGAUGAUCGGCCACACUGGAACUGAGACACGGUCCAGACUCCUACGGGAGGCAGCAGUAGGGAAUCUUCCGCAAUGGGCGCAAGCCUGACGGAGCCACACCGCGUGAGUGAUGAAGGUCUUCGGAUCGUAAAACUCUGUUAUUAGGAAAGAACAUAUGUGUAAGUAACUGUGCACAUCUUGACGGUACCUAAUCAGAAAGCCACGGCUAACUACGUG
rnacentral:rRNA from 1 species